rnacentral:rRNA from 1 species
CUACGGGUCGCAGCAGUGGGGAAUAUUGCACAAUGGGCGAAAGCCUGAUGCAGCAACGCCGCGUGAAGGAAGACGGUUUUCGGAUUGUAAACUUCUGUUCUUAGUGAAGAAAUUUGACGGUAACUAAGGAGCAAGCCACGGCUAACUACGUGCCAGCAGCCGCGGUAAUACGUAGGUGGCAAGCGUUGUCCGGAAUUACUGGGUGUAAAGGGGGCGCAGGCGGGAGAUCAAGUCAGCUGUGAAAUCCAUGGGCUCAACCCAUGAACUGCAGUUGAAACGGUUCUUCUUGAGUGAAGUAGAGGUUGGCGGAAUUCCGAGUGUAGCGGUGAAAUGCGUAGAUAUUCGGAGGAACACCGGUGGCGAAGGCGGCCAACUGGGCUUUUACUGACGCUGAGGCCCGAAAGUGUGGGGAGCAAACAGGAUUAGAUACCCUGGUAGUC